GCGCUCUUUUAAAAGCAGUUUAUAGCUUCUCUAGAAAAUCUUCUCCAUUUUUUUCCUUCUCGUUUGGUAUAGUCUCGGCUUCAUGUGGACUGUGUUUAUUCCUCGACGAGCGUGAUUAAGAUUCUGAACGGUGGUUCUUGAGUACUUUUUCAUUUUGUGUUUUCAUUUUGGCUGUGUGAUCAUGGAUAUUGAUCCGGAGAGCUGUAGUAGUAGAGCCGUGGAUUUUGCACCGACUCACAGUCAGAACCAGAGGCGCCUGAAAGCCAUUGCGUACGAUCAAGUUCUUCAUCUACUCAAGGAGUCGAACUUGGCAGAGGCCAAUCUUCCUGGUUUUGAAGAUGAACUCUGGGUGCAUUUUCAUCGGCUCCCCCCAAGGUAUGCCUUGGAUGUGAAUGUCGAGAGAGCACAAGAUGUUCUUAUGCACAAAAGAUUACUGGAUAUGGCACGCGAUCCUGCUACCAGACAUGCAAUCGAAGUCCGUGUCGUGCAGGCUCAUUUUCCUACUAGUGGAAAUUGCAGUUAUUCAUUUUAUUCAAACUCUCAAAGAAAAGUGGAUCCUCAGCGUUCUGAUUAUUGCAGGGAAAACAGGGCAAUGCAUGAAAUUACAAUUUCAACAGACGACAAACCCAAACUUUUGAGACAGCUGACUUCUUUAUUGUCUGAGAUUGGGCUGAACCUUCAAGAAGCACAUGUUUUUUCCACUGUGGAUGGAUAUUCGUUGGCCAAUUUUCUUGUUGAUGGUUGGGCACUUGAGGAGACUGAGCAGCUUAGAAAUACACUUGUCAAGAAAAUACCAAGAAUUGAGGUUCAAGGAGGACAAGCAGGGCUAAACCAAGCUGUGAUGGAUGGCAUGGCAGGGGCUGAAAGUAGUAGAGCCAUGGAUUUUGCACCGACUCACAGUCGGAACAAGAGGCCUGAAGUCAUUGUGUAUGAUCAAGUUCUUCAUCUUCUCAAGGACUCAAACUUGGCAGGGGCCAAUCUUCCUGGUUUUGAAGAUGAGCUCUGGAUGCAUUUUAAUCGGCUCCCCCGAAGUUAUGCCUUGAAUGUGAAUGUCGAGAGAGCACAAGAUGUUCUUAUGCACAAAAGAUUACUGCAUAUGGCACGUGAUCCUGCUAUCAGACAUGCAAUUGAAGUCCGUGUCGUGCAGGCUCAUUUUCCUACCAGUGGAAAUUGCAGUUAUUCAUUUUAUUCAAACCCUCAAAGAAAAGUGGAUCCUCAGUGUUCUGAUUAUUGCAGGGAAAACGGUGCUCAUCCCCCUGCUGCUUUUGGGUCAUCACCUGAUACGAAUGAUAAUCUUCUUUGUUCCUGGGCAAUGCAUGAAAUUAUAAUUUCAACAAAUGACAAGCCCAAACUUUUGAGUCAGUGUCUGCGCUUGGGCUGAACAUUCAAGAAGCACAUGUUUUUUCCACUUCUGAUGGAUACUCUCUGGUCUUUCUCCUUGUUGGUGGUUGGCCACUCGAGGAGACCGAGCAGCUUAGAAAUAUACUUGUCAACAAAAUACCGACUACUGUUUGGUCUUGGGAAAUAUAAGAGAUUGAUGCGCGGAAGGACCACUACCCUUGUUCUCAGGUUCAAGCAUAGGGCUAAACCAAGCUGCGAUGGAUGGCAUUUCUCAUAGCAAAUAGUUUUCUGUCUUCACAAUUACUGCAUCAUGGAUUCUUCUCCGCCUGGAAUAUACUCUUUUAAAAUUGCAGCAAGCUGUUGCCGUUCCAAAUAUUUCAAUUCAUCGUGUUUUUGCUUUUUGUUUCGAUGUCAAUGGCUAAUAUGUGUUUUUGCUUCGAAUAUAUCGUUUGUGGCUUUGAACGAUACAUUAGACGGAGUAGAAGCGUGUUCACUGUUGAA